rnacentral:snRNA from 1 species
GUAUUUACCUGGCAGGAGAACAUCCAUUAUCACAAAGCUGUCCUUCCCACGGCAAGGCUCAUCCAUUGCACUCCAGAUGAGCUGACCCCUGUGGUUUCUUCAUAUGUGGGGAACUGCACUCACUCUCCCUGCAAUAAAAAUACAUAAGUAGGCUGGGACAGUGGCCCAUGCCUAU